rnacentral:sRNA from 1 species
GCAAAUUACGCUCAGCCCGGGGAGGGGAC